rnacentral:rRNA from 1 species
UACGGAGAGGGCUAGCGUUGUUCGGAAUUACUGGGCGUAAAGCGCACGUAGGCGGCUUUGUAAGUUAGAGGUGAAAGCCCGGGGCUCAACUCCGGAAUUGCCUUUAAGACUGCAUCGCUAGAAUUGUGGAGAGGUAAGUGGAAUUCCGAGUGUAGAGGUGAAAUUCGUAGAUAUUCGGAAGAACACCAGUGGCGAAGGCGACUUACUGGACACAUAUUGACGCUGAGGUGCGAAAGCGUGGGGAGCAAACAGG